CAGGACAGCGGCGCCUCUCCUGAUCUCGGGCUCUCAGGCUCUCAGCUCACGCAGCCGCAGCGUUGUUGCUGCGAUCUGCGGCGAGACAAUGGCGGGGCGGCCACGGAGAGGGAGAGGCGGGUCAGGCGGCGGAGAAGCCCAGUGCUGGGGGCUUCCUCCACAUAGACGGGUGCAGCGGGCGGCGAGCCGGCGAGGCCUCAUCUGGCGCGCGGCAUCGACCAUCGAGGACUCCGAGAGUAGCAGAUUCGAAGUUUAGUCCCCAAAUCUGACCGGAAUUCAUCUUCUACAGACGACUUGCUUUGUCUAGAUACCAACUGCAGCAGUAAAUCGAGCUCUAACCGUGGUUGUAGGAAUGUUCCUACUUGGAAUAACUGAAGAAAAAUAACAAGAAACGGUAAUGCCCAAACGAAUGCUACUUUCUGCAAAUGUCACUAACCAAACUGGAGAAAUGGGGAAAACAUAAGGUGGUAUUCAUGUUACACUUUGUUGUUUUGAUAAGGGAAUUAAUAAUAAUGUGUCCCGGCCAAGAGAUGCACAAAGAAAUCUUGUUAUUACUUUUUGGAGUUGUGGGAAUAAAUUCUUGUACCUAAGUGCUACAA